GAUGAACGCUGGCGGCGUGCCUAAUACAUGCAAGUCGAGCGAACAGACGAGGAGCUUGCUCCUCUGACGUUAGCAGCGGACGGGUGAGUAACACGUGGAUAACCUACCUAUAAGGCUGGGAUAACUUCGGGAAACCGGAGCUAAUACCGGAUAAUAUAUUGAACCGCAUGGUUCAAUAGUGAAAGACGGUUUUGCUGUCACUUAUAGAUGGAUCCGCGCCGCAUUAGCUAGUUGGUAAGGUAACGGCUUACCAAGGCAACGAUGCGUAGCCGACCUGAGAGGGUGAUCGGCCACACUGGAACUGAGACACGGUCCAGACUCCUACGGGAGGCAGCAGUAGGGAAUCUUCCGCAAUGGGCGAAAGCCUGACGGAGCAACGCCGCGUGAGUGAUGAAGGUCUUCGGAUCGUAAAACUCUGUUAUUAGGGAAGAACAAAUGUGUAAGUAACUAUGCACGUCUUGACGGUACCUAAUCAGAAAGCCACGGCUAACUACGUG
rnacentral:rRNA from 1 species